rnacentral:lncRNA from 1 species
UUGCUGCUUAAAAGACAAUACUAGGAUGAUAAGAUGUUGGGAAGAAAAAAAAAACCAGUUAUUCACAUAUACAGAACAUGACAAGAUGUAAGGAGCUGCCUACCUUAAAAACAAAAGAAGACCAUCAGGCAUAGGAAGGAAAGUUUAGUGGGAGGAGAUGUGGUGGGGAUGUAGGUGUUGAUGUGCAGGGCAGGUCAAUGAUGAAUAGGUGUAGUAUUUGUUGCACAUUGCUCCCUCCCUCCUGCUGGAAAAUCAUAGUUGCCUUCUGAUCUUGCAAGGCUAGUUUCUCUCAUUCUUUAGGCAACAACUUUCCAGGAGGCAAAACUCAACACUGCUUAUGAUAUGUGUUAGGCGAUGUACAAAUGUGGAGUGCUGGGCUAAGGAGCUGAAGCUGAAGCACCUGAGCCAAGGACAAAAGGGCCGAAUUGUUCCUCGGACAUCCACUGGAUGAAAAUGAAUUGAAAUUUAGUGGAAAAAGUGGGGACUCUACCGAACCUUAAAACAGACCCAGCUUUCCUCCUUCCUGUGGAUGCUCUCCACCUCUCACUGGAGCCUCCAUGUCAGCCACCUAUUCAUGGAGGCACUCUCCACCUGAGAACCCCCUGCUACACCUGCCUGGGAUUCAGAAUUACAUGUGUCUGUGUUGUCUCCCCAGAGGCAGAGACGGAGAUUGACUGAACCACCAUUCAGAUGGUGCUAUUAAAUUCCAGGAGGUACUUCUGGUGGUGAGUUCUCCAUCACCACUCAGCAUUCCUAGCCAUCAGUCACUGGUGAACGAGGAGAGAGAGGGUGGGGAGAGGGGACCUGACAUACCACAUUCUGUUCAGCUCAUGACUUAGAGCUGAACAGCAGCGUGUGCUGGUACAGGGGCAGAUGAUCUGAUUCUGGCACUGGGAAUCUGUGUUUUAGGCAUCACUUUUAUAAUUUAAGUAAAACUGAGGAUUCAAAAACCACUCUUGUAGAUUAUUUUUAUUCUCAGUGAUUCAAUUCUGUCCAUUCUGUUAAAUGUGGCAAAUGGAAGCUGGUUGGAUAAAUGCUG